UACGUAGGGGGCUAGCGUUGUCCGGAAUCAUUGGGCGUAAAGCGCGUGUAGGCGGUCCGGUAAGUCCGCUGUGAAAGUCGGGGGCUCAACCCUCGGAUGGCGGUGGAUACUGUCGGGCUUGAGUACGGAAGAGGCGAGUGGAAUUCCUGGUGUAGCGGUGGAAUGCGCAGAUAUCAGGAAGAACACCAACGGCGAAGGCAGCUCGCUGGGACGGUACUGACGCUGAGACGCGAAAGCGUGGGGAGCGAACAGG
rnacentral:rRNA from 1 species